AUGAACCGGUAUGGUAUGCCAUUCAUACCCUUUGUUGGUCUUAGCAAUCACCGGAAGACCACUGUUUUUGCUUGUGCCAUAGUUUCUGACGAGACCGAAGAGACAUAUGUGUGGCUGCUGGAGACUUUUUUGAGGUCCAUGUGUCAAAAGAUGCCGAAGAGUGUUAUCACGGACGCCGACGCUGCGAUGAUCAAGGCAAUUCUCCAAGUCUUGCCAGACGUGUGGCACCGUAUAUGUACGUGGCAUAUAGAAAAAAAUAUGAAGAUUCACCUCAGUCACAAGUCCUUGAAGGAGUUCCGAACUCUUCUG
rnacentral:rRNA from 1 species